GUGGGGAAUAUUGCACAAUGGGCGAAAGCCUGAUGCAGCAACGCCGCGUGAGUGAUGAAGGUCUUCGGAUUGUAAAGCUCUGUCUUCUGGGACGACAAUGACGGUACCAGAGGAGGAAGCCACGGCUAACUACGUGCCAGCAGCCGCGGUAAUACGUAGGUGGCAAGCGUUGUCCGGAUUUACUUGGCGUAAAGGGUGCGCAGGCGGAUAUUUAAGUGGGAUGUGAAAUCCCCGGGCUUAACCUGGGGGCUGCAUUCCAAACUGGAUAUCUAGAGUGCAGGAGAGGAGAAUGGAAUUCCUAGUGUAGCGGUGAAAUGUGUAGAGAUUAGGAAGAACACCAGUGGCGAAGGCGAUUCUCUGGACUGUAACUGACGCUGAGGCACGAAAGCGUGGGUAGCAAACAGGAUUAGAUACCCUUGUAGUCC
rnacentral:rRNA from 1 species